AAAGAAAGGGCGAGGAUCCAAAACUCCCGAUAAAACUUAAACAAGAAGGGGGAGAGAGACGUACAACGACGGAGAGAGAGAGAUAUAUAUAAAUUGUAAAACCAAAUUUAUUUGAUCUCACAAUCAAAAACAAACCCUAUCUCACGUUUAAACACACACACACAACUCUUGAUUUUCGAGGAAGCCAUCGGAAAUCCAAAACGCAGUCAUAGAGAGAGGAAGGUUUUGUGAUUUUGAAUUCUGGGUUAGCAUAGCAAUCAUGAGAUUCAUGAAGGGGAGUAAAGUGGAGGUACUAAAGAAUAAACAGGUGCCUCCAGGAGAGUGGCAUUGUGCUAAGAUUAUCUCUGGUAAUGGCCACACUUACAGCGUUAUGUAUGAAGGUUCUCUAGAACUGAGAAGUGAGGCAGUUGUGGAGAGAGUGCCAAGGAAGGCUAUUAGGCCUUGCCCUCCUCCCGUGGAAAGUAUGGAAGGUUGGGCAGUUGGUGAUGUUGCAGAAGUGUUUGAUGCUGUUUCUUGGAGAAUGGCUAUGAUUUUGAAGGUUUUGGGUGGGAAUUAUCAUUUGGUUAGGCUAUUGGGAUCUUAUGAGAAGUUCAGAGUUCACAAAUCCAACAUCCGGGUGCGUCAAAUCUGGCAAGAUGACAAAUGGGUUGUGAUCAGAAAGGGUUCUCAGAAUUGUGAGCUUGUGAAGUUCAACAAGCCAUCUAGCUUGAGCUGUCAUCAGAUGUCCCCUGAGUUUGCACAGCUUGAUACAAGGAGAAAGAUGCAGGCAGGAAAUACUUGUUUAGCUGCUCAAGACAAUACUUGUUUGCAGGAGUCUCAUUUUGUCUCAUGUAGAACAUUGAAGAGAGCAUCCCAUUAUUGCUCCUCUCAUACUGAAGCAUAUUCUGGAAAAAUGAGAGCAAUUGAGAAUGAGGGCGAGCAACAAAGAGCCAUUUCAGAGUCUCCAUCCCCCUUGCUGAAAAAGGGCCAAAAUUGGAGGCUUGCAUGCCUUGCUUCUAAAAGUCUUAAGAUGAUGCUGGGGUUUGCUGCAUUUCUCUCCCUUAAACGAUGGGGCAAGAACUGCAUCCAAAUUUUCUACAUUAGACAAUGCAUGACCACCUAAUGGUAUAAUUGAUAUUUGGUUCAGUAAUAUAUUUCAUUUCUGGCCUGCUGGGAUUUAUGGCAUAUUGUGCCAAUGCAAAACCCAAUCUUUGAAAUAGUGGGAGAGCAAUUUUGAUAUUGACGGUCUUCUUUUAAACUUCUAGUUUGAUAAAUGCACAUUGUUAUAGUUUUUUUUUUCUCCCCAUAAUUAGGUUUUCAUCAAAAGCUGUUUGGAGUGAUCUCCUUCAACCCAUUACAUGAUGACUCAUAAAACCUUCCAUGUGUAUUUAUGAAACAAGUCACAUUACUCAUUUAAGGGGUCAUGUGACUAUAAGUAACAUGGAUGGUUUUAUCAAUCUCCACAUAUUGGGUUUGGAGGUAAACUUUUUCCUUUCUUUUAUAUUGCAUAUCUAUGUCUUGCUUAAAAGUGUGUCUUUUAUAUCUAUGGAUAAGUUUUUCCAAUUUAUCAGAAUUUCUGAUUAUUUCUUUGAAGUUGGAAAACAUAAUGGGGUUUGAGGAAUGCCCCAAGUGCGUCCAGUAGCUCUUGUGGUGCUUGGGCACUGGUGUUCAAACCCUACCAUUUCCCCUUCCUCAAUUUACCUAUUGAAAAAAAAAGAUGUGUAGGUACUCUUCAGUGAUUUUAUCAUCCAUGUAAUCACUUUAAGUAAUGACUUGCUUUUGUAGAAGUCCUACUUUGUAACUGCUUGUUCCCUUGCAAUUUAUAUUAAAGAAUUGGGACAGAAUUUUACUGGCUCCCUUCCAUUACUCUACUUUCUACUUCCUUUCCCUUCUAGGAAUUUUCCCUUUGUACUUCGUCAUGGUGGAUGACUGCUAUUGACUAGUGACACAUGGUGUCUUUCACUGUGUACUUUGCAUAUAGAAUAGCAGUACCAUUCAUAUGUUAGACUACUAAUUGUGCAAUGUGCUAAGGAAUUAUCUAGGAGUUCCUUCCAAAAUUAAAGAAGAAUCUAACAUAUGUGUUAUUCUCAAGAAAAACAUGAUUAAAUGAAUUUAGUACAUAUGCUUAAUGAUGUAGUUGACUAUGAUAUUCUGGAAACACUUCCAAUAAAUUUGUUGUGUACGCUUGGAAGAAGAUGAUAAUUGUUGAAAAUGAUCAACAUUCCUUGAAAAUUAGUUACUAACAGCAGCCUGGUUGAAAAGAAUUGCAGGAAGGAAAUUACACGAGUUUCAUGAACAAAGGUUGCAGAACAUUGUUUGUAAAUGUUUGUGCAGGGAUCAGGUCCACAAGCUAUUAACUAGUGACACAUGGCGUCUUUCACUGUUUACUUUGCAUAUAGAAUAGCAGUACCAUACAUAUGUUAGACUACUGAUUGUGCAAUGUUUCAAGGAAUUAUCUAGGAGUUCCUUCCAAAAUUAAAGAAGCAUCUAAUAUAUGUGUUAUUCUCAAGAAAAACAUGAUUAAAUGAAUUUAGUGCGUAUGCUUAAUGAUGUAGUUGACUAUGAUAUUCUGGAAACACUUCCAGUAAAUUUGUUGUGUACACUCAGAAGAAAAUGAUCAACAUUUCUUGAAAAUUAGUUACUAACAGCAGCCUGGUUGAAAAGAAAGAAUUGCAGGAAGGAAAUUACAUGAGUUUCAAGAACAAAGGUUGCAGAACAUUGUUUGUAAAUGUUUGUGCAGGGAUCAGGUCCACAAGGAAAGAUGCAGCUAUGCAGCAAUGGCCUAGUCAAAGUAAGCACAAGAGGGCCCCAUAGACACAUUUCAUGUAAAUCUGAUUCUGAGCAAUACUGGAGCAAAUGAGUGAUCUACGAGCUGAUCAACAGUGCUAUCUUGCAAAGAUGACUUGGAAGGGGUAGCUGAAAUCUCCAAGUUGGGAUUUGGUAAGGGCUUUUAUAAUGAAAAUUGAUCUAUUGUCUUGCAUAGGUGGCUUGGUAGGGGUGGCUCAAAUCUCUGAGUUGGGACUUUUUAUGGCCUUUCAAUGAAGAAUGAUCUGUAAAGUUCGAAGCGGUUGACUUCCCAAGAGGUGUGAUUGAUUCAUGAAGUGGUAGUAGUGUAUCUCAAGUAUUUUCUUGUAUCUACCCAUGAUCUUAUACACUCUUUCCGGUUUUCUGCAUUUGUAAUAUAUUUUGUUACAGGCUAAUGCAUAUUAUACAUAUCAUGAGUUGGGCGUCAUUCUGAUUUUUUGUUGGUGGUAGAAUUUGGCAGUGCUGGGCAGCAGGAUCUGAUUAGCCUUAAAAAGCAACGCAUCAAUUAGAUAGCCAUUUGUAAAAUUAAUAAAUCUAAUAGAAACAAAUUUCACAUCUGUUGAAAUGGUAGAUUGUUAUUGGUGCACAAUAAAA